rnacentral:miRNA from 1 species
CGUGUGUGUGUGUGUGUGUGUGUGUGCACACACACACACACACAGACACAUAUU